CCUACGGUGGGCAGCAGUAGGGAAUCUUUCACAAUGGGCGAAAGCCUGAUGGAGCAACGCCGCGUGCAGGAUGAAGGCCUUCGGGUUGUAAACUGCUUUGAGAAGCGAGAAAGAGGAUGGUAACUGAUGAAUAAGGAGCGGCUAACGACGUGCCAGCAGCCGCGGUCAUACGAAGGAUCCGAGCAUUAUCCGGAGUGACUGGGUGUAAAGAGUGGCGUAGGUGGCCUAAUAAGUAGCUAGUGAAAUCUGGUGGCUCAACCCUUCCGACUCUUAGCUAAACUGUUAAGCUCGAGACCGUUAGGGGUAACUGGAAUUUCUCGUGUAGGCGUUACAUCCGUCGAUAUUAGCAGGAACACCAAUCGCGUAGGCAGGUUGCUGGGUCGGUUCUGACACUCAGGCACGCAAGCGUCGGGAGCAAACGGGAUUAGAUACCCUUGUAGUC
rnacentral:rRNA from 1 species